CCUGUCCUGGAAUUGGCAGUCCAGCCCAGGUUGGCCUUGAAAACAGAGGUCCGCCUGCCUUUGCCUCCCCAGGGCGGGAUCAAAGGUGUGCGCCACCACACCCGGCCUUUAGUUCACCUUCUUAUUUCUUAUCAUUUUAAUCAAUAAUGCAAUGACAAAGUCAAGUAGCUCUCACAGAGGCAAGGGAGUAGUUAGAACUAAGACAGAAGAUUGUUGGUCUGCGAAGGGAAGCCAGCAGAUCCUCACGCUUUGUGGGGCCUGUUGAAGGAACAAGUUAUUUCUUUCCCUUAAACCAAGAGUUUCUACUGUUUAGUCCCCAGCAAUAUCUUAUUACUUAUGUCUGGGAAUAUCUGGUUUCUUAAUCCUAAAAACUUUAGGGAAAUGUAUUAGUACUAUGAUUCAGUUUUCAUAGUAGAAAAGAUAUGCAAAUUAAUUCCUGGAAGCUUCAGUUCCUUUUGUGGAGAAGCUAAAACUGUCGUUUCUCUUUUAACCAGUGGGUGGGGGAGCUAUGUUCGUAAUACAGUGCCUGGCCAGAUGGGGUAGGAACACAAACAUUAGCUAAUAUUCUGCUGUUGUUCUCUUGACAAUCCUCAAUUGUUUCCCACUGCCUACAGAAUAAAGGUUCUAUUCAGCCCGAGCUCCGUCUCUUCUCCUGCAUUGGGCUUCUCCUUCCUCCCCGUGUUUCAUGGCCAGAGAAACCCUCACCUUUUCUUGUCCCAUCCCUACUCACACUCCCAGUUUCAACUUGGAGGUCAAUGUCUGAGAGCCGGGCAUGGUGGCACACAUCUUUAAUUCCAGCAGAGGACGUCUGUGAGUUCGAGGCCAGCCUGGUCCACAAAUGACGGCCUGGAGGCACUUCAUUCUCCUGCACCUCACAGAGAGGAGCUGCGGCAACUUCCUUCCCAGACUGCUGCUCCCGAAGCUCCUUUUAUUACCAUAGCCUAACACAUGACCAAACCUCAUACUCCAGCUGUAGCUUUUUCAUUUAAAUAAACCACAUGCUCCUGAAA